UUUCCAUCUAACUAUUGGAUAGUUUUCAAACAGUUGUAAUUAUUCACAGUACCAAAUGUCAUAAUUAAACAUUAAAUUUUGUUAUUUUCAAUAUUAGUUGUACUAGUGACUAAUAUUAAUGUUAUAAUCUAUAUUGUAUACAAGGCAUAUAUAAUGUACCAUAUAUUUGAUAUUUGGAUUAUACUCACAAAGAUUCUCUUACACAAAUUACUUCAUACAAAUUUAUCAUAAAUUAAUUAAAUUUUUCCAUACUUUGUUUUUUUUUUGCUACAUUAUUAAAUUAUUGCAUGUAACAUAUUUGAUCUUGAUUUAUUACUGGUACUAUAGUUAAUGGUAGUUAAGGAAAAAUAAGAACUACUUCCUACUGCCCCCUUAUAUUUUAAGGUAUGUCUAAAUCCCUUAAAGUUAUAACAACGUAGUCUACUGUAGUCUUAAUGUUAGCCAUAAAAUUUAAAUAUUUUGAAAAUACAAAUCAAGUAAAAUAACUUAUGUACCCUUAAUUAUCAAAUUUUUUUUAUAAUGAAUUGUAAAUUAUAGAAAAUUAUUACAGGUAGGGGAAAUUUCAUAAAUAUCCCUAUGGGGUCAUUGAUAUAUGAAUCCAAGUAAUUGAAAAAAUAGCAUAAAUUACUUAACACAUCUUGGUUCAUAAAAUAUGUGUACUUGGAUGGAUUUAUAUACUUUAUGCCAUAGUAUUGCUCAUUGUAUUUAGGGUCAGUAAAAUUCCAUAAAUCUCUAUCAGGAUUCAGGAUCCUGGCUCAUUUAGGAUGGGAUUCAAGAUAAAAUUUUAUCCCGAUUUAUCAUUUGGGUUGGGAUUUGGGAUGUUUGAAAAUCUCAAACGAGAUCUUGAAUGUCUUGAAAUAUGGGUUUCUAAAUAUUUAUGACAAGUCAAUUUAAUGAAUUAUAUACAUAUGACAUGUUGAUAUAUUUGUAUGGCAAGUCAUUUUUAUUAAUAAUACACAUAUGAUAUGUCAGUUAUAUGUGUACCACAUGUCUUUUGUUAUAGAAUCUACAACUAUGACAGGGUACUCAUGUCAUCCAAGACAAUUUGGAGUCCCAAUUAGAAUUCAAGAUCCCAAUCAGGAUGGGAUGAGGAUACUUUUUUAUCCUGAUUUACUGUUCAGGAUUGGAUCAAGAUCGGCAAACCCUAACUUGUCUCCGUUCAAUUGCGAACCUUAAUUGUAUGUGUGUUUGGAUGAAUGGCUCACAUUUGCUUGAAUAUCAUCUAUAAAGGUGACUACUAAAACAAAAGGAUAUUUGCAUACAUACGUGUCUAUAUGACAUAUGUGUGUAUAUUUCAAUGCACUCUUUUUUAUCUUUUAGUGUAUUGAAGUUUUUUUUUUAUGGUCUUUUAUCUCUAUCAAAAUGAAUUUUGCUUGAAAGAUGCUCACACUUGAGCACGACUCUCUCUCUCUAUAUAUAUAUAUAAGACUGACUAAAGUAUAGAAAAUUAUAUCUCUCACAUCGAAUAUCAAUGAAAAUUCUAUUUCUGUUUUGCUGAUAGCUUUUGAACUUGUCAAUAAUAUCCUGUUUAACAUAUAUCUGUACUUAGUUUAAAACUACAAAGUUUUUAGGCAUUGUAAAUAGCUAUUUGCUGUCAAACUUGAAUCAUGUUUGUGAUAGGUUCGUUAUCAAUUGUGGAUGCUAGGUCAGAAGGUUGGACUUAUCACACGGACACAAUUAAAUGGCGCUUCACUAAGAUUUGUCCCUACAACGUUGGGAUUGUAAAAUUUUCUUUGCUUCAAGCUCGUAAUAUACCACUACGUAUGGAUCUUUGACCUAUUUUUGAACGCUUCUGCUAGAUAAGAUAACUUCGACUUGUUAAUGGCAUUCUAGACUUGUUAUUACACAACAUUUUCUACUAUAACACUCAUUCCUCGUAUGUUUUGGUAUAUUGUUGGGCAUCAAUUAGAAUCACACUAGUGUCGUGUUCACUUGCUGAAGUGGGAGUGGAGAGAAUGGAUUUUUCUCAUUCUAACUUUUACUUACUCAUUUGAAGAGGGGAACGAGAGUCCACUCCAUAGGAUCUACUCAUUCUUUUGAGUAAGGAGUGGGAUUCCUACUCCCAUGGAGAAUGUGGGAGUCAGUUCCUUUUUUAUCCUUUUCUUUUUAAAUAU
rnacentral:lncRNA from 1 species